CUCAGGAGGCAGGGGCAGGAUUAUUGGACUACAUAAAGAGGCUGUGUUCUGGUUUCCUUUCUGCUGCUAUAAUAAAACACACUGACCAAAAGCAACUUAAGGGAGGAAAGGGUUUAUUUGGCUUACCCUUCUAGGAAAUUCUGGGCAGAAACUCAAGCAAGAACUUGAAGCAAAACCAUGGAAGAAUGCUGCAUACUGGCUGCCUCACAGACCCAUGCUUAGGCAGCUCCCUUUCUUUUCUUCCUCUGCCCCCAUGCAGGGUUUCUCUGUGUGACCCUGAUUGUCCUGGAAUUCACUCUCUAGAGCAGGCUGACCUCAAACUCAGAGAUCCAUCUGCCUCUGCCUCUGCCUCCUGGGUACCGGGAUUUGGCAGCUUUCUUUUACAGGGAAUGAUGUUGCCCACAGUGGACUGGGUCUUGUACAUCAAUUAGCAAUUGAGGCCUUCUCCCACAAACAUGUCCACAGGCCACACGAUGUAGGCAGUUCCUCAAUCGAGGCUGUCCUCUCUGAGAACUCUGGGUCAAGUCUAAAGUCAAUCCACAGAACUAGAACAGACCUUAUCUCAGAAAAACAACAUUGUCAGGGAGGUCUCUGAGGCCUCCUAAAACAGCAUUGACCACUGCAACAGGAGUUGGUUGCCCACUAGAACUAGAUGGUAAAACCCUGUUGCUGAAGGUAACACAUGCCUUGUCUGUCUGAAUAGAGAAAUCAGGCUUGAGUUAGUCUAGUAUCUUCUUCCCUCUGGGCUCUUGGCCUCUUAGCGCUGGAAGGUGCUAUGUUGGGAGAAAAUUGUCAGCAACAGUCUUACUCAGCUGUGGGUUCUAUGUAUUACAGUAUCAACUGAUCAGGCAGAAUGAGGCCCCUCUGUGAUAGUGGCAAGUCUGUUAUGGGAGUGGCCAGCCGGUGAAUAUCCAACCCAGGGCCUUGUGUGUAUAAGGCAAGCAUUCCACCAGCUGAGCUACAUCCCUGACCCCAGGAUUGGGAAUUUGAGGCCAACCUAAGCUACAUAAUCAAAUUCUGUCUCAAAUAAAAUCAAAUUCAAUGAAGAAAAAAAAAUCUCUCAGAUUAUUUUAGUGUUUGGUGGAAUAAAUGAAAGAAAAACUGUUUUUAGGAAUUCAGUCAAAAGUUUCAAAAGUUAGGCCAGUGAAAUGGCUCAGUGGGUGAAAAUACUAGCCACACAAGUUUAAAGACCUGACUUUAAUCCCUGAAACCCUUGUUAAAAAAGAAAAAAGCCUAGAAGGACAGGGUUGGCAGACACCUUUAAUGCCAGCAGAGGCUGAUGGAUCUCUGUGAGUUCAAGGCCAGCCUGGUCUACAGAGUGAGUUCCAGGACAGCCAAAACUCUUACACAGAGAAACCCUGUCUCAAAAAACCCACAAAUAAAAUAAUAAUAAUAAUAAUAAUAAUAAUAACAAAUAAUAAAUCUUAUUUUGAAGAAAGAAACAGACUGAAGGUCCAGAUCAACAAUUUUAGAUCUUGUUCACAGUAGAAUGGGAAAAAAGCUUACCUUACCUUGACUAAUGCUAGGAACUGCUGUUUAUCCUCUAUAGUUAGUGAUCUGCUUUGCACAGAUUUCCCUAGUUUAUUUUUUUUAUUUUUUAUUUUUUUUAGAUUUUAGAAAACAACUUAGUUGUAUGUGAUGUCAGUGUGGGGUAUGCGCACAUGCUGAGCCAUCUCUACACCCCCCCCCCCAGUUCCCUAUUGUUUUUUCACUGCCCUGAUACAAGCUUUUCAAGUCCAGUAUAUUAGUCAGGGGUUCUCCUAAUGAAACAGAACUGACAGAAUGGAAAUAUAUACAUGGCUUACAGGAUACUGUUGGAGAAGUCCAGCAAUGGCUGUCUCACAUUUGAGAGACCAAGAAUGCAGUAGUUGUCCCGUCUAUGAGGCUGGGCGUCUCUGCAGUCCCAAUCUGACCCUGGAGGCCUGGAGGCUUCCUGGAGAGCAUCUGGUCUUCAGUCUAUCAUGGAAUCCCAAAGAAGCAGGCUCUAAUUUCAGUGAAGGAAUACAGGAGCAAUAGGAUAGAUGGACUUGCCGGUAAGAGUAGCGGCAGCAGGCAGGAGCAGUUUUCUUCUUCCACGUCCUUUUACCUGGGAUGCCACCAGAAGGUGCCACCCAGAUUUACCUGCUUCAAAUAACAUGGUAAAGAAAAUCUCUCCUGGGAGAUCCAGCAGCUUGGGUUUUAGUUGUUGCCAGAUGCAGUCAAGUUGACAGCCGAGAUUAGCCAUCAAUCACAUUCAGGUGCAGAUCAAAGGCAGUUGCUGACUCUACAGGCCAAUUAGCAGGCACUUUUUAACCUUCAGACUGGAUGUCAUCCAAAUGGAGACUUGGGAAGAAUGCAAAACUGGGUGGCCUUAGUGUAUUGAACCCUCUGAAACCAAACAGACAAUUAUGAAAGAAAAGUGGAAUCUCAGAGUCAAGGCCAACUGCCACCAGAGGAACAACACGAACUAGACUUUGGAUUGAAUUAUUGCCUCUGUUCUGACUCCCUGGAAAAUAUGCUAAGGGGAGAUGGUUUGGGGAAGGCAAAGUCCCUCCCAG
ensembl:lncRNA